rnacentral:rRNA from 1 species
AUGGCGAGUGGCGCACGGGUGAGUAAUGCAUAGGAACGUGCCCUUUGGUGGGGAAUAACCACGGGAAACUGUGGCUAAUACCGCGUAAUAACUACGGUUUAAAGAUGGCCUCUAUUUAUAUGCUAUCGCCAAAGGAUCGGCCUAUGUCGCAUUAGCUUGUUGGUAGGGUAACGGCCUACCAAGGCUACGAUGCGUAGCUGGUCUGAGAGGAUGAUCAGCCACACUGGGACUGAGACACGGCCCAGACUCC